GCCAUAUCAAUAAGCGGAGGAAAAGAAACCAACAGGGAUUGCCUUAGUAGCGGCGAGUGAAGCGGCAAAAGCUCAAAUUUGAAAUCUGGCACCUUCGGUGUCCGAGUUGUAAUUUGAAGAUUGUAACCUUGGGGUUGGCUCUUGUCUAUGUUUCUUGGAACAGGACGUCACAGAGGGUGAGAAUCCCGUGCGAUGAGAUGCCCAAUCCUAUGUAAGGUGCUUUCGAAGAGUCGAGUUGUUUGGGAAUA
rnacentral:rRNA from 1 species